rnacentral:lncRNA from 1 species
AUGGAGGACAUGACCAAGUACAGCAACAGAGGAAUUCGCCCAGGGAUCCAGGAUCAUUGCAAGGAAAUCCCCAGCAGACAGCUGAUACUCAGAGUUGACAAAAAGAAUGAAGGAAGGAAUGAAGCCAUCUGCGGAAGGGCACGGAACUGCCGGGUAAUGGAAACUGGAACCGCAUGCCCAGCAGGCCCGGUGACCCACAGUAACAGGUGUUUGCACCUCUGA